ACACUCCUACGGGAGGCAGCAGUGGGGAAUUUUGGACAAUGGGCGAAAGCCUGAUCCAGCCAUGCCGCGUGCAGGAUGAAGGCCUUCGGGUUGUAAACUGCUUUUGUACGGAACGAAACGGCCUUUUCUAAUAAAGAGGGCUAAUGACGGUACCGUAAGAAUAAGCACCGGCUAACUACGUGCCAGCAGCCGCGGUAAUACGUAGGGUGCAAGCGUUAAUCGGAAUUACUGGGCGUAAAGCGUGCGCAGGCGGUUAUGUAAGACAGUUGUGAAAUCCCCGGGCUCAACCUGGGAACUGCAUCUGUGACUGCAUAGCUAGAGUACGGUAGAGGGGGAUGGAAUUCCGCGUGUAGCAGUGAAAUGCGUAGAUAUGCGGAGGAACACCGAUGGCGAAGGCAAUCCCCUGGACCUGUACUGACGCUCAUGCACGAAAGCGUGGGUAGCAAACAGGAUUAGAAACCCCGGUAGUCCCAUGAU
rnacentral:rRNA from 1 species